UACGUAGGGACCGAGCGUUGUCCGGAUUCAUUGGGCGUAAAGAGCUCGUAGGCGGCUGCUCAAGUCGAAUGUGAAAACUCGAGGCUCAACCUCGAGCCUGCAUUCGAUACUGGGCGGCUAGAGUCUGGUAGGGGGAUCUGGAAUUCCUGGUGUAGCGGUGAAAUGCGCAGAUAUCAGGAGGAACACCAAUGGCGAAGGCAGCUCGCUGGGACGGUACUGACGCUGAGGCGCGAAAGCGUGGGGAGCAAACAGG
rnacentral:rRNA from 1 species